CCUACGUGAGGCAGCAGUGGGGAAUAUUGCACAAUGGGGGAAACCCUGAUGCAGCGACGCCGCGUGAGUGAAGAAGUAAUUCGUUAUGUAAAGCUCUAUCAGCAGGGAAGAAAAUGACGGUACCUGAGUAAGAAGCCCCGGCUAACUACGUGCCAGCAGCCGCGGUAAUACGUAGGGGGCAAGCGUUAUCCGGAUUUACUGGGUGUAAAGGGAGCGUAGACGGCAGUGCAAGUCUGGAGGGAAAGGCGGGGGCUCAACCCCCGGACUGCUCUGGAAACUGUACGGCUGGAGUGCAGGAGAGGUAAGUGGAAUUCCUAGUGUAGCGGUGAAAUGCGUAGAUAUGAGGAGGAACACCAGUGGCGAAGGCGGCUUACUGGACUGUAACUGACGUUGAGGCUCGAAAGCGUGGGGAGCAAACAGGAUUAGAUACCCGGGUAGUC
rnacentral:rRNA from 1 species